CCUACGGGCUGCAGCAGUGAGGAAUAUUGGUCAAUGGCCGUAAGGCUGAACCAGCCAAGUCGCGUGAAGGAAGAAGGAUCUAUGGUUUGUAAACUUCUUUUAUAGGGGAAUAAAGGUAUCCACGUGUGGAUAUUUGCAUGUACCCUAUGAAUAAACAUCGGCUAACUCCGUGCCAGUAGCCGCGGUAAUACGGAGGAUGCGAGCGUUAUCCGGAUUUAUUGGGUUUAAAGGGUGCGUAGGUUGUUUUUUAAGUCAGCGGUGAAAGUUUGUGGCUCAACCAUAAAAUUGCCGUUGAAACUGGAAGACGUGAGUGUGUUUGAGGUAGGCGGAAUGCGUGGUGUAGCGGUGAAAUGCAUAGAUAUCACGCAGAACUCCGAUUGCGAAGGCAGCUUACUAAGCCAUAACUGACACUGAAGCACGAAAGCGUGGGGAUCAAACAGGAUUAGAUACCCCAGUAGUC
rnacentral:rRNA from 1 species